rnacentral:snoRNA from 10 species
GGGAAUGAUGAUUUCACAGACUAGAGUCUCUGACACUAGGCCUGAUGUCAAAUUUACAUUCUGACUC